UACGGAGGAUGCGAGCGUUAUCCGGAGUUAUUGGGUUUAAAGGGUGCGUAGGCGGGAUGCCAAGUCAGCGGUAAAAAUGCGGUGCUCAACGCCGUCGAGCCGUUGAAACUGGCGUUCUUGAGUGGGCGGGAAGUAUGCGGAAUGCGUGGUGUAGCGGUGAAAUGCAUAGAUAUCACGCAGAACUCCGAUUGCGAAGGCAGCAUACCGGCGCCCUACUGACGCUGAGGCACGAAAGCGUGGGUAUCGAACAGG
rnacentral:rRNA from 1 species